AUUGCCCUGCUUUGUGCGUGUGUAACCUGAAGUUUUGAGCCAACAUUGAAGAAAUAGGGAGCCCGGUUUCACGCAAGGGAAUGUAGACCUUACCGGCAUAAGGAAACAGGAAAUUGCGGAAGGGCACCCACCUGUUGGAGAACAGGUUCAAAAAACUUUGGGUAUAAACACGGCAUGGUGGGGUUUCC
rnacentral:other from 1 species